AAAAAUAUUGAAAAAAGCCUUCGCCAGCUCAUCACCACCAUCAUCAUCUCCUCCUUUAAAAAGAAAGCUAGGGACUACUUCAUCGCCUUCUUUCGUUUUGCCUUUAAUCUAUAGCCUUUUUGUUUUUGCGGUUUCUCUCGAUCAGCUAAGUUUCGAUCCAUUCUUGUUCUAGCUUUUCAAUAGCUUCUCCUCCUUCGCUUUCUUCGUUUCUGUUCUCAGAUCUAUUCUCU
rnacentral:lncRNA from 1 species